rnacentral:rRNA from 1 species
ACUCGAGUGGCGAACGGGUGAGUAACACGUGGGUGAUCUGCCCUGCACUUCGGGAUAAGCUUGGGAAACUGGGUCUAAUACCGGAUAGGAGCCAUCUUUAGUGUGGUGGUUGGAAAGUUUUUUCGGUGUAGGAUGAGCUCGCGGCCUAUCAGCUUGUUGGUGGGGUAUGGCUACCAAGGCGUGACGGGUAGCCGGCCUGAGAGGGUGACCGGCCACAUUGGGACUGAGAUACGGCCCAG